CAGCAGCCGCGGUAAUACGAAGGGUGCAAGCGUUAAUCGGAAUUACUGGGCGUAAAGCGUGCGUAGGCGGUUUGUUAAGUCUGUUGUGAAAUCCCCGGGCUCAACCUGGGAAUGGCAAUGGAUACUGGCAAGCUAGAGUGUGUCAGAGGAUGGUGGAAUUCCCGGUGUAGCGGUGAAAUGCGUAGAGAUCGGGAGGAACAUCAGUGGCGAAGGCGGCCAUCUGGGACAACACUGACACUGAGGCACGAAAGCGUGGGGAGCAAACAGGAUUAGAUACCCCGGUAGUCCCUGUCUCUUAUAC
rnacentral:rRNA from 1 species